AAAGGACUUCCGGUCCCAUAGCAGGUUGUGUUUUCUUAUUAUUAUGAAAAGUAGUUGUAUAAGAGCGACGUUUGUAGUAAGCACAUGGAAUUUUAACUGAUAAAUCAAGUGAAAAGGAUGACUGCAUCAAAAGUAUUGAGUUUUGCGAAGAAAAAUAAAGUAGCUGUUUUGUUUCCAAUUGCAACCUUUUCCUACAUUGUAAACGAUUUGUAUAGAUCGUCAAUUUUUAAAGCCAAAGUUGCAGAGAGAGACAAAAGAUUAGAGGUGGCCCAGACCAAACAAGAGUCAUGAAGUUGUUUCAGAGUGAACCAGUAAAAUAUAGAUUUACACACUUGACUCCUCUCCAAAGAACGAGAACUUUGACGGCCUUUUAUGUAACAAUUCUCCCAUUCUGUUUCUUUGCAAAAUACGCGGAGAGGAAAUAUUUUCAAGAUCCUUUGGACAAGCAUUUGAAUAAGAGUAAACUCUUUGGGGGGCGUAAAUUGUAUCCAGAUACAUGGACUGGAGCAUUGUGGUGAAAUGUUGUGUUAAUACCAAUUUGAUUAAAAAUAAAGAUAUGUGAACUUACCAAACCA